rnacentral:rRNA from 1 species
GACGAACGCUGGCAGCGUGCUUAACACAUGCAAGACGAACGAUGAAGCCGGAGCUUGCUCUGGUGAAUUAGUGGCGAACGGGUGAGUAACACGUGAGUAACCUGCCCUUGACUCUGGGAUAACUGCGGGAAACUGUAGCUAAUACCGGAUACGACCCUCGGAGGCAUCUCCUGGGGGUGGAAAGAAUUUCGGUCAAGGAUGGACUCGCGGCCUAUCAGCUAGUUGGUGAGGUAAAGGCUCACCAAGGCGACGACGGGUAGCCGGCCUGAGAGGGUGACCGGCCACACUGGGACUGAGACACGGCCCAGACUCCUACGGGAGGCAGCAGUGGGGAAUAUUGCACAAUGGGCGCAAGCCCGAUGCAGCAACGCCGCGUGAGGGAUGACGGCCUUCGGGUUGUAAACCUCUUUUAGCAGGGAAGAAGCGAAAGUGACGGUACCUGCAGAAAAAGCACCGGCUAACUACGUGCCAGCCGCCGCCGUAA